AUUGAACGCUGGCGGCAGGCCUAACACAUGCAAGUAGAACGAGUGGCGGACGGGUGAGUAAUGUCCGGGAAACUGCCUGAUGGAGGGGGAUAACUACUGGAAACGGUAGCUAAUACCGCAUACCAUCAGCUGUGUCCAGAUGGUAUUAGCUUGUUGGUGGGGUAACGGCUCACCAAGGCGACGAUCCCUAGCUGGUCUGAGAGGAUGACCGGCCACACUGUGACUGAGACACGGUCGAGACUCCUAAGGGAGGCGGCAGUGGGGAAUAUUGCACAAGGGGCGCAAGCCUGAUGCAGCCAUUCCGCGUGUAUGAAGAAGGCCUUCGGGUUGUAAAGUACUUUCGGCGGGGAGGCGUUACCCGCAGAAGAAGCACCGGCUAACGCCGUGCCAGCAGCCGCGGUAAUUC
rnacentral:rRNA from 1 species